UACGUAGGGGCAAGCGUUGUCCGGAAUCAUUGGGCGUAAAGCGCGUGUAGGCGGCCCGAUAAGUCCGCUGUGAAAGUCCAAGGCUCAACCCUGGAAUGCCGGUGGAUACUGUCGGGCUAGAGUCCGGAAGAGGCGAGUGGAAUUCCUGGUGUAGCGGUGAAAUGCGCAGAUAUCAGGAGGAACACCAUGGCGAAGGCAGCUCGCUGGGACGUGACUGACGCUGAGACGCGAAGCGUGGGGAGC
rnacentral:rRNA from 1 species